UAAAUGCAGUUUGCAGUCGAGUGUCAUGGAAUCACACUGGUAGCAGGGAUAAAGAAAACCUUUAACUAACCAUUGAAUUAAGGAGAAAAAGAGAAUAGACACUACAGAGAGAAAAGAGAAGAGAGUCUGGUCUUUCAUCCUCUUAUCUGGGCAUCAGACGGAGGAGAGGAGAGGAAUCCAGAGAGAGGGGGAACGGAUGAUAACAUGGUGCUCAUUCCUGUUUAACACCAUACAGCCAGGAACAGACUGCAUCUGCAACAUACGGCCAGCGUCGUCAUUGGGAAUGCUGCGUUACAUUGGGAUUGUGUAAAUGUGCCAGUGUGUGUGUGUAUCUAUGAGCUGAUAAUAGCAACCCUAUUGGUAUUCUGAGGAGGGGGCUCCAGGAUCUCUCUCUGCUCCUACCCAGGAUGGCAUCACAGAGACGGGAUUGUGCUCGCCUGUGGAGAGGCCACUGGAAUGGGGCUCAAACCUAGUGGAAUGAUCUCUACCUUUCUGAAUCCUUUCCUUGUCAGUCAGGAGUCACAGUUCCCACCAUAGGGAAUAAAGACAAACUGCUAGCAUCCAGCACCCCAAUACUGACCACCUCUCUACCCCUGCAGAGUGACCCCCCCACAAGGAGCCCAACCACCAGUGCUACAAUUGUUCCAGUGAGAGAUGUGUACAAUGCACUCUUCUGAUUACAACCGCAUCCAAUGGGAUUUAAUGAAACCUAGAGGUUUGGGGUGUUGAUGCCAGCGCCACAGCUUGUAGAGGAUCUUGAACUUCGGGGGACGUGUCUCCUUGGAAGGGAAUACUCAACUGUGACUCUCCUCCAGAAAACUACAUGAGAUUGUGGUACAUGGGUGGAUUUAUCGGCUGUACAUCCUGUCUAGAUUAUGGGACUUUACUCUGUUCACUUCAAAGUUCUGCGUCUGUUCCAGACCGGUUCCUCAGCAGAACCAAGUAGUUGACAGUCCCCCCUUGGGAAUCCCGCCUUCUGAUUUGUUUGGGGGCUUAUUUUUUAAAGGAACAAUUUCCCCUCCACUUUCCCUUUUUCUGGUCUUCCUCAUUUCCCCCCACCUCUUCAUCCAUUGAGGAGGAAUAUAUUAUGAAACAAGUCUAUUCUUCCUGAUCCUCCCUUGGUGACAGAGAGAAAAGAGGGACAAACUGCCCUGAAUAGAUAACGAGGAAGGAGAGAGAGAACGGAGAAGAGAAGGAGAUAGGGAAACACAGAGAGAGAGAGAGAGAGAGAGAGAGAGAGAGAGAGAGAGAGAGAGAG